rnacentral:rRNA from 1 species
GACGAACGCUGGCGGCGUGCUUAACACAUGCAAGUCGAACGGAAAGGCCCUGCUUUUGUGGGGUGCUCGAGUGGCGAACGGGUGAGUAACACGUGAGUAACCUGCACUUGACUUUGUGGUAACUUCAGGAAACUGGGGCUAAUACCGGAUAGGAGCUCCUGCUCCAUGGUGGGGAUUGGAAAGUUUCGGCUGUUGGGGAUGGACUCGGGGCGUCUCAGCUUGUUGGUGAGGUAGUGGCUUACCAAGGCUUUGACGGGUAGCCGACCUGAGCGGGUGAUCGGCCGCACUGGAGCGUGAACACGGACAAUACGCCUACGGGAGGCAGCAGUAGGGAAUCUGACGCAAUAGUCGAAAGCAUGACGGAGCGAGGCGGCGUGAGUGACGAAGGUCUCCGGAUCGUAAAACUCUGUUAUGAGGGAAGAACAAAUGUGGAAUUAACUAUGCACGGCGUGACGGUACCUAAUCAGAAAGCCACGGCUAACUACGUG